UACAGAGGUCUCAAGCGUUGUUCGGAUUCAUUGGGCGUAAAGGGUGCGUAGGAGGGCAGGUAAGUCAGUGGUGAAAUCCCCGAGCUUAACUUGGGAACUGCCGUUGAUACUAUCUGUCUUGAAUAUUGUGGAGGUAAGCGGAAUAUGUCAUGUAGCGGUGAAAUGCUAGAUAUGACAUAGAACACCAAUUGCGAAGGCAGCUUGCUACACAACUAUUGACUCUGAUGCACGAAAGCGUGGGGAUCAAACAGG
rnacentral:rRNA from 1 species